CAUCCCGGGCAAUGGGUGGAGACACCUUGUCAUUGGUGUUGUUCUUAUAUCAGUCAGGGGCAGAGCAGAUGGCAGUCCUUUUUUCAUCCUAACUUGAUGUCUGGCUUAGUGGCCAAAGCUGUCUUAUGCCUAGGACUCAUAA